ACGGCCCAUAUUCACUUGAAGAGACUAUAAAACCAGACCCCCUGGCCCCUGGAGAUCAUACCUCUUCUACAGAAUCAAAGUUAGGGUUUCAAUUCUUCAUCCAAGUAGAGAGGAUCCCUCUAGUUCUUCUAGUUCUACCUCCAGUUCAUCUAGAUCUAGUUCUAGUUCAUCUAGUUCUAGUUCUAGUUCCUCUAGUUCUAGUUCUAGUUAGUUCUAGUUGUAAUCUAGAAAAUAGGGAG
rnacentral:lncRNA from 1 species